CAUCAUCAGGACCAUUUACUUUUACUGAAAGACCACCAACAACAACUUCAAGAAAAUCAACGAAAAUCUCUAAACAAACAACACUAACGGCAGCAACAACAAAUGCUGGACCAAAAACUACAUCUACAGGAUCAACAACUGCAGGACCAGUAUCAAAAGCAUCUGAACCAACAACAGCAGCUAAAGGACCAACAACUACGACAACCGAACACACAGCUGCAGGACCAACAUCAACGACAUCUGCAGGACUAAAAACAACAUCUGACGAACAAAAAACAGCAACUAUAGGACCCAAAAUGACAACUGCAGGAUCAACAAUUGCAGUAACAACAACUACUAAAGCAGAACUCACAUCAACAACAGAAGAGUCAACAAUUACCACAACAGGACCCACAAAAUCAUUUGCAGGCCAAACAUCAACAACAAAUGCACUACCAAAAUCAACAACAAAUGCAGGAACAUCAUCAACUGCAGGAAAAUCUACUAUCACUGCAAGACCCUCAACAAUAACUUCAGGAAAAACAUCAACGGGAGGACAGACCAGGGCAACUGCAGGAACAUCUGCAGGAUCAACAAUUGCAGCAACAGCAGCACUGACUGCGGGAUCAACAACUGCAACUACUGAACCAAAAUCAGCAGCUAAUGGACCAACAACGAAACCAAAAACGAAUACAGUACCAACAACAUCAACUGCAGUACUAAUAACUACUAAAGCAGCACCCACAACAACUGCAGGACCAAUAAUGACAACUGCUGAACUGACGUCAAGAACUGUAGGUCCCACAACUUCAACUGUGAGAACAUCAACAAUUGCAGGACUUAUUAUCAUGACUGCAAGACCAACAAUAACAACUGCAGGAUCAACAACAACGACUUUAGGACCAAUAACAACAAAUGAAGGACCCACUACUUCUGAAGAAGGGACUUUGGAGAUUACAUUUAGUUUAAUGCAAACAUUUAUUGAACAAUACUCAGAUCCUACCUCCACAGAUUUUCAGGUCCUCUCUAAAAAUGUUACAACAGAGGUAGACAACGGCUUCAAAGAUCAUUUUCAUGAUAGUUUUUCCAGGAGUGAAGUUAAAUCCUUCAGGAAUGGAUCAGUCGUUGUUGACUUGAAUCUGAUCUUCAAAAACAUAUCAGUUGUUCCCAGUGAAACAACUGCAAAGCAGGCAUUGAUGGACUCAUUAUCCACGGGCAUCGUCAACCUUAACGUGGACGGAUCCACUAUCUUGACAGAUAAUAAAGACACUACAACCACAACUGCAACAAAUGGACCACCGACUACUACUGCAGGAGUAACCGCUAGUUCAGCAGGACCAGCUAUAACAACUGCAGCACCAACAACAACUGCAGCAGGACCUAAUACUUCUUCUGUAGGACCCACAUCAACAACUGCAGGACAGACAGAGAGUGAAAGACCAUCAACAAUGACGACAAAACCCACAACAACAACAGAAGGACCAACAACAACUGUAGCACAUAAAACAGCAACUGCAGUUCGCAUAACUACUACUGCAGGAACCACACGUACUAAAGCAGGACACACAACAUAUUCCACAAAAAAAACUGAAGGACCAACAACUGCAGAAACAUCAUCAACUGCAGGACAAUCUACUAUUACUGCAAGACCCUCCACAAUACCUUCAGGAAAAACAACCUCAACGACAGGACGUACCAAGGCAUCUGCAGGACCAGAAAGAACAUCUGCAGGAUCAACAAUUGCAGCAACAGCAGCACUGACUGGGGGACCAACAACGACAACCGCUGAAUCACAAUCAGCAGCUAAUGGACAAACAACGACAACUGCUGAACAAAAAUCAAAAGCUAAUGGACAAACAACGACAACUGCUGAACAAAAAUCAAAAGCUAAUGGACAAACAAAGACAACUUCUGAACUUACUGCAGGAGCAAAAUCAACCACUGAUGAAUCAACAAAAGCAACAACUGAAGGAAUAAUAAAAACGACUGCAGGACCAACAACAUCAAAUGCAGUACCAACAACUACUAAAGCCGGACCCAAAACAGCAACAGCAGGAUCAACAACUGCAGGACAAACAACAAACACUGCAGGACCAACAACAAAUGCAGCAGGACCUAAUACUUCUUCUUUAGGACCCACAUCAACAACUGCAGGACAGACAGAGAGCGAAAGACCAUCAACAAUGACGACAAAACCCGUAACAACAACAGAAGGACCAACAUCAACUGUAGCACAUAAAACAACAACUGCAGUUCGCAUGACUACUACUGCAGGACCCACACAUACUAAAGCAGGACACACAACAUAUUCCACAAAAAAAUCUGAAGGACCAACAACAACUGCAGAAACAUCAUCAACUGCAAGACAAUCUACUAUUACUGCAAGACCCUCCACAAUACCUUCAGGAAAAACCUCAACGACAGGACGUACCAAGGCAUCUGCAGGACCAGAAAGAACAUCUGCAGGAUCAACAAUUGCAGCAACAGCAGCACUGACUGGGGGACCAACAACGACAACUGUUGAAUCACAAUCAGCAGCUAAUGGACAAACAACGACAACUGCUGAACAAAAAUCAGAAGCUAAUGGACAAACAAAGACUACUUCUGAACUUACUGCAGAACCAAAAUCAACCACUGAUGAACCAACAAAAGAAACAACUGAAGGAAUAAUAAAAAUGACUGCAGGACCAACAACAUCAAAUGCAGUACCAACAACUACUAAAGCCGGACCCAAAACAGCAACAGCAGGAUCAACAACUGCAGGACAAACAACAAACACUGCAGGACCAACCAAAAAUGCAAGAUCAUCAACUACGACAGCAAAACCUGCAAGAACUACUGUGGGACCAACAUCAACAACUGCUGGACCAACACCUACACCAGUAAAACCUGCAACAUCGUCUUCAAGACCAACCACAACAGGAAGACCAAACACACAAACUGCAAGACCUAUCACUUCUACUGCAGUACCCAAAACAACAACUGAAGGGCCAACAACAACAGCCUCAGAACCAACAACUACUACAGUAGGACCAACAACUACAGGACAAGGAACAACAACAACUGGUGGACUAACAAAAGCCACUGCAGGACCAUCAACAACUGGAUCAAAAACAACUGCUGCAUUUCCAACAACUGCUGGUCCCAGAGCAAAAACUGGAGGACAGACAACUGCUCCAGCAGGACCCAUAACAACAACAGCAGAACCAACAAAAACAACUGCAGGACCAACAACAACAACUGCAGGACCUAUAUCCACAACGGGAGGACAAACAACUGCAGGACGAACAACGCCAACUGCAGGACCAAUAACAAUAAAUGCAAGACCAACCACUACUACAGCACGAUUCACAACUACUACAGCAGGACUCACUGCAACUGCAGUUCAAACAACGUUGACUGCAGGACCAACAAGGACAACUUCUGAAACAAAAUCAACAAGUGCUGGACCAACAAAUGAGACAGCAAAACCUGAAACAACCACUGCAGGACAAUUCACUUCUACCGUGGGACCCAGAACAACUGGAGGACUCACCCCAACAAAUGGAGGAACAUUAACCUUUACCGUAAGACCAACAGCGACAACUUCAGGAGCAUCAACUACGGCAGGAAAAACGACGACAACCGCAGGACCAGCAAAAAAGUCUGCAGGGUCUACAAUUGCAGCAACAGCAGCACUUACUGCAGGAAUAACAAAAACAAAUACAGUACGAACAACAUCAACUGCACUACCAACAACUACUAAAGCAGCACCCACAACAACAGCAGGACCAAUAACGACACCUGCUGAACUGACAUCAACAACUGCAGGACCAACAACUACGACAGAAAAACCAGCUAGAACAACUGCGGUACCAACAACUACAACUGCUGAACCAACAUCAACAACUGCAGGACCAACAACUAGGACAGCAGAUGCUGGAAGAACAACUGCGGGAACAGCAUCUACUGUAGCACUAUUAACUUCUGCUGCGGGACCCAAAACAACAAUUGAAGGAACGACAGCAGAACAAACAACUGCAGAACCACCAUUGACUGAUGCUGAACGAACAACUUCAGCAUUAACAAAAAAAUCUGCAGGACCAACAACAUCAGGACGCAGAACAACAACUGCAGAACCAACAAUGACAACUGCUGCUCACAGAGCAAUAACUGCAGGACCACCACCCACUGCAAAACAAGCAACAACAAAUGCAGAGCUAUUGACUACUGCAGAAGGACCAACAACGACAACUACUGAACCGACAUCCACAACUGUAGGACCAACAACUACUGCAGCAAAACCUGCACCACCUGCUGGACCAACACCUACGCCAGCAAAACCUGCAACAUCGUCUUCAGGACCAACAACAACAGGAAGAACCAACACACAAACUGCAAGAACCAUCACUUCCACUGCAGCACCCAAAACAACAACUGAAGGACCAACAACAACAGCCUCAGAACCAACAACUACUACAGCAGGACCAACAACAGCUGGUGGACUAACAAAAAACAUUGCAGGAACAUCAACAACUGGACCAAAAACAACAACUGCCGCACUUCCAACAACUGCUGGUCCCAGAGCAAAAACUGCAGGCCGGACAACUGCUCCAGCAGGACCCAUAACAACAACAACAACUGCAGGACCUGCAUCAACAACUGGAGGACAAACAACUGCAAGACAAACAACGACAACUUCAGGACGAACAACGCCAACUGCAGGACGAAUAACAAUAAAUGCAAGACCCACAACUACUACAGCUCGAUCCACAACUACGACAGUAGGACUCACUGCAACUGCAGUUCAAACAACGUUGACUGCAGGACUAACAAGGACAACUUCUGAAACAAAAUCACCAAGUGCUGGACCAACAAAUGAGACAGCAAAACCUGAAACAACCACUGCAGGACAAUUCCCUUCUACCGCAGGACCCAGAACAACUGGAGGACUCACCCAAACAAAUGCAGGAACAUUAACCUUUACCGUAAGACCCACAGCGACAACUUCAGGAACAUCAACUACGGCAGGAAAAACGACGACAACUGCAGGACCAGCAACAAAGUCUGCAGGAUCUACAAAAGCAGCUACAAAAGCAACACCCACAACAACAGCAGGACCAAUAGCGACACCUGCUGAACUGACAUCAACAACUGCAGGACCAACAACUAAGACAGAAAAACCUGCUAGAACAACUGCGGUACCAACAACUACAACUGCUGAACCAACAACUAGGACAGCAGAUGCUGGAAGAACAACUGCGGGAACAGCAUCUACUGCAGCACUAUUAACUUCUGCUGCGGGACCAAAAGCAACAAUUGCAGGAACGACAGCAGAACAUACAACUGCAGAACCAACAUUGACCACUGCUGAACUAACAACUUCAGCAUUAACAAAAAAAUCUGCAGGACCAACAACAUCAGGACGCAGAACAACAACUGCAGAACCAACAAUGACAACUGCUGCUCACAGAGCAAUAACUCCAGGACCACCAACCACUGCAAAACAAGCAGUAACAACUGCAGAGCUAUCAACUACGGCAGAAGUACCAACGACAACUACUGAACCAAUGUCCACAACUGUAGGACCAACAACUACUGCAAGUAAAGCUGCAACAGCAACUGCAGAAACAUCAACUGCAGGAAAAUCUACUAUUAAUGCAAGACCCUCAUCAACAACUUCAGGAAAAACAACAACGGCAGGACAAACCAGGGCAACUGCAGGACCAGCCACAAUAUCUGCAGGAUCAACAAUUGCAGCCACAGCAGCACUGACUGAGGGGCCAACAACAACGACUGCUGAACCAAAAUCAGAAGCUAAUGGACAAACAAUGACAACUUCUGAACUUAGUGCCGGGCCAAAAUCAACCACUGCUGAACCAAAAAAAACAAAGACUGAAGGACUAACAAAAACGACUUCCCGACCAACUACAUCAAAUGCAGUGUCAACAACUACUAAAGCCCAACCCAAAACAGCAACAGCAGGAUCAACAACUGCUGGAAGAACAACAAAAACUGCAGGACCAAUAACAAAUGCGAGAUCGACAACUAUAACGGCAAAACCUGCCAGAACUACUGCGGGACCAAAAUCGGCAACUGCUGAACCAACAUCAACAACUGCAGGACCGACAAUUACAACAGCAAAACCUGCAACGACUGCAGUACUAAUAACUUCUAACGUUGGAUCAACAAUGACCGCAGAACCCACAACAUCAACUGCAGCACCAAAGACAACAAUUGCAGUACCCACAACUACUUCUGCAGGAUCCAUAACUACUAAAACAGGACAACCAACAAAAAAUUCAGGACCAACGACUGCUCCUGCAGGACCAACUGAAACAGCAGGACCAACAACAACAACUGCAGGACCUAGAAUUAGCAAGGCAAAACCUUCAAGAACUGCAAGACCAACAUCCACAGCAAAACAAGUAACGACAACUGCAAAGCUAUCCACUACUGCAGAAGGACCGACAACAAAAACUGAAGGACAAACAAAAACAGGUAAAGGACCACAAAUAACAAGAGCUGAACCCACGGGACCAACAACAACUGCAGGAACAACAACUGCAGCAGUAUUAACUUCUACAACUGGUUCCACUACCACUGUAGGACCCACAACAAAAACUGCAGCACCAAAAACAACUACUGCAGUAACCACAACUACUUCUGCAACAACUGCUGGAACAACAAUAACUGCAGUAACAUCAUCAGGACCAUUUACUUUUACUGAAAGACCACCAACAUCAACGAAAAUCUCUACACAAACAACACUGACGGCAACAACAACAAAUGCAGGACCAAAAACAACAUCUACAGGAUUGACAACUGCAGGACCAGUAUCGAAAGCAGCUGAACCAACAACGGCAUCUAAAGGACAAACAACAACGACAACAGAACAAGCAGCUGCAGGACCAACAUCGACGACAUCUGCAGGACUAAAGAAAACAUCUGACAAACAAAAAAGAGCAACUAUAGGAACCAAAAUGACAACUGCAGGAUCAACAAUUGCAGUUACAACUACUACUAAAGCUGAACUCCCAUCAACAACAGAAGAGUCAACAAUAACAGGACCCACAAAACCAACUGCAGGCCCAUCGUCAACAAGAACUGCACUACCAAAAUCAACCACAACUGCAGGAACCACAACAACAACAGCGAAAGGACCAACAACUACGACAAUAGGACAUACUACUGCCGGACCCACAUUGAACACUUCUCAACCCAAAACAAAAACUUCUGGACCAACAAAAAAAUCUGCGGGACCAACGAUAACUAAUGAACCAAAAACAACAACUACAGGAACCACAACAAAAACUACAGGACCCACAACAAAAAGUACAGGAUCCACAUCAAAAACUGCAGUACCAGCAACUAACACAUCAGGAAUCUCAACAUCAGCAGGAUCAUCAUCUGCCGGACCAACAAUGACAACUGUAGAACUCAAACCAACAACUUCAGGAACAAUAACUAAACCUGCUGAACCCACAACUACUAAAGCAGGACCCACUUCAACAACUGCAAGACCAACAAGGACAACUGCUGAACCAACAACGACUGCUGCACCAAAAGCAACAAAUUCAGGACCUAUAGCAACUUAUGAAAUAAUAACAACUGCUGAACUAGCAACAACUCCUGGACCCAGAGCAACGACCACAGAACCAAAACUAACAACUGAGGGACCAUUACCGACUAACACAACACCAAUGAAAAAAACUGCAAAACCAACAACCACUGCAGGACCAAUAACAACAAAUAGAGGAUCCACAAAUCCUGCUUUAGGACCCUUAACUACCACAACUGGCCCAACAACAAAUACAUUAGGACCCACAGCAGUGACUGCAGGACCCACUACAACUUCAGAAGAAGGGAAUUUGGAGAUAACUUUUAGUUUAAGCGAAAUAUUUAUUGAACAAUACUCAGACCCUACUUCCACAAGCUUUCAGGUCCUCUCUAAUAAUGUUACAACAGAGGUGAGAUAAUCACAGUCCUUUGAUGUUGUACUUAAAUCAAUAAUUUGCAAUUUUCAGUCAUUAUUGCCUGAAUUAUAGUAUUAACCACAAUAUUACAUUUUUCACAUUAGGUAGACAAAGCCUUCAAAGCCCAUGUUCAAGAUAGCUUUGCCAGGAGUGAGGUAACAUCCUUCAGGUACUUCUUUAAUAUUUAUUAAAGUAUUUUUAUUAUUGUAAAU
ensembl:lncRNA